rnacentral:tRNA from 1 species
GCGGAUGUGCUGGAAUUGGUAGACUGGCCAGCUUGAGGUGCUGGUGUCCCCUGGACGUGCGGGUUCGAGUCCCGCCAUCCGCACCA